UACAGAGGUCUCAAGCGUUGUUCGGAUUCAUUGGGCGUAAAGGGUGUGUAGGUGGCGCGCUAAGUCGGGUGUGAAAUUUCGGAGCUUAACUCCGAAACUGCAUUCGAUACUGGCGUGCUUGAGGACUGGAGAGGAGACUGGAAUUCAUGGUGUAGCAGUGAAAUGCGUAGAGAUCAUGAGGAACACCGGUGGCGAAGGCGGGAUCCUGGGCCAGUACUGACGCUGAGGAGCGAAAGCGUGGGGAGCAAACAGG
rnacentral:rRNA from 1 species